UGUCCCUAGCGUACUCAUUUGAAGCUUCGAGGUCGAACCACUUUUAUGGUUCACCUGGCUGCGAGGCUUUGACGUUUCAUGAGGCAUCAUCUCGUCACCACUAUUCUGUUGUUUAAGAAAGAAAAAAGGAUUCUUUCUGUGGCGUGUCGAUAACUCGGACCUCCAGGUUUCCUUUCGUUAUGCUUCCAUCACGCUGAUUUCAGAUUCGCCUGUCAUCGUGUAUGAUACCGGUGGUCUACAGUGUUUAUUAAAGUCUAGACAUCUCCGAAUGCUUUGCAACCGUUCUCCUGGGGAACACGCGUGGGCAUCGUUCAGCCCACCUGAACGUGUACAACUCAUACUUACCUGGCAAGGGAGAUACCAUGAUCAAGAAGGUGGUUCAGCCAUAGCGAGGCUCAGCCAUUGCACUGAGGCUGUUGCUGACCCGUGCGAAUUCCCCAAAUGUGGGAAUCUCGAUUGCAAAAUUUCUGGUAGUGGGGGACUGCGUUCGCGCUCUCCCCUGGUCGUGUUGUUCUAAAGAAAUAAUAGCUAUGAAAGAUACCACCCUGAGCACGCCCGAUCUCGUCUGAUCUCGGAGGCUAAGCAGGGUCCGGCCUGGUUAGUACUUGGAUGGGUGACCGCCUGGGAAUGGCUCAUGACCCCCCAAAGUCCCUAUCCCUCAACCCUGGGAUCGAUCCAAAAGGAUCGAGGAUCAAAACGGACGGCUCCAUCUGGUGGCCACUGGUGGGUGGUUUUAUUUUCAGAAAUGUCAUGUGCAAGGCCUAGAUGAUCAAAAUCCACUAGUCUGCUGGAUGUUUUGUUUAUUAUUUUCAUACUUUGAGUGGAUGUAGCUGAUGAGAUUCAUACAAUCAAGUGGAAAAGUGUUAAAUUGUUACAUUUUUGGGCUGAAUUAAGAAAAAUAAUAAGAGCCAUUCACAGAACUCAUUGUUUUGACCACACAGGGAGUGCAGCCAUCACAGUGGGGGUGUAUUCACACCUCUGGUUGCGGGAGUGAAGACACAAGGACUUCUAAUUGCUUUGAUGGCACAGGAACAGUGGCAUCACAGAGGUAAGUUAUUCACACACACACACACGCAUUUCCAGGUAUUUACACAGUCCUCCUUUCCAACUCCGCAUCCACGACACUCUUAAAGUGUUCAAAGUUGUCAUACACCACAUUGUAAAAGCCAGGGGUAGUGGACAUCCUAGUGGGUGGACAGUAGGAAAACAUUUUCUGCAUGCUUCCAGCCACUUUGUCCUUGGAAGGGGUGUACCUCUUCCGCUGUCCACCACAGUCUGGCACGUGGCAAGCCCCACAUGGCCUUGAGGACUUGUUAGGCAUGAAUGUCUUCACUGUUGGUGCAGGAGGGACAAAGCUCUGGCUGCAGGAUGGCCCACGAAACAGGACGGAGGGGGCCUGUGGCUGUGCGGGGAGGACCAGCAGUAUGGGUGCUGCCGACACAGGGGGCGGGCCGUAGGUCAACGCAGCAGGUGGCCUCGGCUGGAGGUGGGUGGACGCAGGAAGCCUCGGCAGAAUGGGGGUGGGCGCAGCAGGCUUCAGCCGGGUGGAGGACGACAAACCCAGUGGGCUGAACGGGCCGGUUCGCGGGAGUCCCAGGCUCAUCAACAAAUAAUCUGGAAACAUAAAAUACACAUGUGAUCAGUAUUGAUAUGACUUGUGUGCUAUUUGCUUUCCACAGCCAACAGGUGAAACAAAGUGCUUAUGACAACUUACCUCCGCUUCUCACCACGUCUCUUUCCAGCCUCGUGAUGGAUGUGCCGGUACUGGACCUGAGGCCGGUCUGGCGGAGCAGUCGCUCCUUCUGCCACUUCAGCAGCUCGUUCUGCUCUCCCUGCUGGCAGUACUGGAACAGCAGCCACACCAGCCAGCCGACAUCAUUCUCCACAAGCCACCUGAAGGUCUGACCGGCGUACUUCCCGAACGUGAUGACCAGCUGACCUUUCCAAAGGUCUCUGCCGUCUUGAGAUCCAGCCAUUUAGGGUCAACAACAGUGCUGCUGCGGUCCUCUGCCACAGACCUUGCUGCCUCUGUACAGUACAGCCUGGCCUCUCCUUGCCGGUACAAAAUGAUGUUGGGGUACUGGUGUAGCUGUUGAUGGCUGACCAGCGAUGGUUUAGUGGCCAAGCUCUUCCCGCAGACGUCACAGAUAAAGGUCUCCCUGGCGAUGGCAUGGAUCUU